AAAAAAAUUAUAAAAAAAUCGAAUUUGAAAAAGUAUAAUUCGAAAACAUAAAAAAAGAUUUACUUUUUUUUAUUUAAAUAAUGAUUUAUUAUAUAUACAAUAACAAGGGCAUAAGAGUCUUUUGACACUUAAUGAAGAAUGUAUUUUUGAAAAUAUCUUUUUAGUAGUGGUAAAAAUGAAAAGUGGUACCAUGAAAGUGGUAAACAUGUAAUUUUCCUUUAUUUAUACGUUUAGGAAGUAUAAUCAGCAUUAAAAAAAGCAUUAUUUAUACUUUUAGGAAAAAAAGGUAAUCAUUUUGUGUUGUUCCGGUAAUAAACAAUAACGCGUUUUAUUGAGUAACUAGGUUAAGAACCGCGCCUUGCGCGGAAUAAAUAUUAUAUAUAAAUAACUUUUACAUAUUAUGAAAUUUUAAUUAUAUAUUAAACAAUAAAAAAAUUUCAGUAACUAUUACGUAUAUUAUUAAAUUGAUGCAAACACAUUAAUAAAUUCUAUUAAUCCGAACAAACACUUUUUUCUAUUUUAUACAGUAUAUAAUUAAAUUUAAAUGAGAUUAACAUAGAUAUAUAGUAUAUUUUUAAUACUGAUAUUUAUUAAAUAAAUUUUUCUUCUCAUAUUAUUUUUUGAUCAUUUGUAUUUUUUAUAACAAAAAUUUUAAAUCAGUGAUAGCAAAAAAUUUCAUUGUGUGAUGUUUAAUAGUUUAAGUAAUUUAUACUUUAUAAAAGUAAUUCAAUGCAAAGUUAAAAUUUAAAUAUUAUGUUGUCAAUAUUUGUUCAAAUCUAUUAUCAAAAAAUGUUAAAAGAAAAUUUAAAUAUUAAAAUAUUUAUAUAUUUUAUAUGGUAUAUAGUUUAAGUUAAACAAUAUUAAUAUAUAUAUAUAUAUAUAUUUAAUAUUUAUUAAAUCACACUUAAUACUUAUAUAAUUGUGUAGUAAUUUGUAUCUUGUCAUAAUAAAAAUGUUUAAUCAUGGUUCACAAAUAUUUUAAUGUGAGGCUUUUAACUGUUUUUGUAAUUUAUUGUCGUUUUCAAAAAUUCAAAAUAUAACAUAUACGAAAAAAAUUAAAUUUUAUUAUAUGAUUUUGGUUAUUUAAUUUAUUUUAAUAAGAUAAAAUUGAAAAAAUGAUAGAGAAUACACUAAUUUUUUAUCAAAUAUUUAUUAUUUAAAAUCAUUAAAUGUCAUAUAUACUUUAGCCACAUUAGAUAAUUCAACAAUUUUUAUUUAUGGAAAUAAUGAAGGACAUUAAUAUUUAAUUUAUGGUUAAUUUAAUAAAAAGUUUAUUAUAUAUUUAAAUGGACCAAUAUAUUUUUUUAGAAAUUCUAAAAAUCAUUGUGGUAAUGAUACGUGUCUACUUUAAAUGUUGUAAUGUUUCUCUUUUAAUAUAUAGGGGAUUUUAUGCUAUGUUCUCAUUUAUUUCACAUGCAUAAAAUAAAACGUUAAUAAAUGACCCACACAUAGAACGACAUUCGUCUCUCUAAUCGCAACCUUCAAUUAUUGUGGGUUUACUAUUGAUUUAUACUAAUAGAUAAUCGUGGGGCAUUCAAAUUUACUUUAUCAUAUGAAUAUAGCUGACUUAGGUAUUAAAAGUUACAAAAUAAAUAUUGUGACCGACUUAACAUUAAAAUGAUGUAAAAAAGGACCGACUAAAUAUUAAAUUAUAAAGAUUUUAGGAGGACAAUUCCUAAAUCCCGCCCGAAUUAAAUUAACUAAUUCCGGAAUCCUGUCCCAUAAAGUAGUUUAAAAUCUCUUAAAACACCAAUAGAACCUAGUAAAUAUCCUACUGACUUCAGGUUCUUUUUCUUCCUGUCUGUUUCUAAUAUCGAUAAUUAGCAAAAAGGUUCCUCUAGACAAUUAACCCAACCACGAUUUAUAAUUGUAUAACAUUCACGACUAAGAGAAUGUAACAAAACGAUCAUAGGAAUAUUGCACAUAACUGUACAUAACAGUUAAGGAAAAAAUUGAAGACUAUAACCAAUUUAAUAAAGAAAAUUAAAAUAUUUAAUAACUAUGAAAUUAUAUGUAAAAUAUUUUAUUCAGGUAAUUUUUAAAUAUUUAUACAUAUUUUAAUACUAUAAACAAUUUUAAGGGAAAUUUUGAAGACUAUAAAAAAUUUGGUAAAAAAAAAUAUUUAUUAAGGUAAUUUUGUUUUAAGUUUUAACUAUUUAUACAUAUUUUAAGAUUUCUAUUUCUAGUAAAAUAUAUCUUUGACAAACAAAAGUUUAAAAACAACCAGUUAAUAUUUUUUUGUUUCUUUUUAAAUAACAAGCAUAAUAUUUAUUUAGACAAAAUUACAGUAACUUAAAAACAACAUGCAUACUAUAUAAUCAAUCCAUUCAUGAUAAUAUAUAUAUAUAUAUAUAUAAUAUAUAUAUAUCUUUUUUUUUUGGUAAAAUGCUAAAUAUAAUACCAAUUUUUAAUUUUUUACAGAAAAUACACAGUAACAAGUAGCGGAAAUGCAAUAAUUAAACUAAAUAGAGAGUCUAGCAUAAGAAAGUACAAAAAUGAAAGGAGUCGAGACCAAGACGAAGAUCCGACAGCAACGAAGCCGUGAUGGACCUGAAGAAGAGGCAUGAGCGGAACGAGCAUCCGGUUGCCGCGAGCUAUUCUUAAUUAUAAUCCAUUACUUAUCAAAAUGCAUGCUAUUAAAAAAUAAUCCAUUACUUAAUGAUAAAAGUAUAAACUGCAUAUUUAUUAGUAAUUUUGUUUUAUUGCUUUGAUUUUUUUAAAAAAUAUUAAAAAUGAAAAAUUUGAAAAAUAAUAUCUGAAAAUCAAAAAUAAAAUCUGAAAACAAGUUAUAUGUCUUAACUAUUUACAGAUUUUAACAAUGAAACUUUUGAUUUAUUUUAAUGGUAUUUUAAAAUAUUUGAUUGAUAUGUUUAUUAUUUUAAAAUAAAUUACAGUUAUUUUUUUUAGAAAACUAGAUAUAUACAGAAUAACCAAAAACCAAAACCAAAAUCUGAAAAUCAAAAACGAAAAACUAAAAUUAAAAACAAAAUCUAAAAAAAAAACUAAAAUCUACUAAAACAAUCAACACCUUACUAGUCUAUAUUUAAAAUUGUUUUGAUAACAAUAGACAUAAGUUUCAACGCUAACAACUAUGUGGAUCAUUGGUGAUAAUUGUCUACGUAAACUGAUCAUUACCCACAAUCUUUCUAUAAACACUGAUGACACCGAAAUAUCAGCAACAUAACUGUUAAAUAACAAAAGUACUAGAAUUUGUUUUAUUAUUUUUAUCCUCCAUCGAGUACACCAACUAAUAGUAUCGACAACGCAUAGAAAAGGGUUUGAAACACUCGAGUCCCCAAAUUCAGUUGAUAGAAUAGGAAUGUGUAUACUGGUCUGUAUUCUAUGUAUUACAAGAUCGCAAAAUAUACAGCCCACUUCAAUACUGAUGACCAAUUUUUUUGCCACAUACAUUUUCAAUGGAACACUAUUAUUUUCUCUAUAUUUUACAUUAAAAUAGAGAAAAUAGAGUUAUUUUAUAAUAGAGUAAAAUAUAGAAAAAUGUUAUUUUUUUUCUCCAAAUUAUUGGAACAAAUUUAACUCUAUAAUAAAGUUAUUUUAUUUUAGUGUAAAAUAUAAAUGAAAAAAUUGUGUUCCAUUGGAAAUGGUCCAAGUAAGUUAAUAUCACCAAAAAUAAAAAAAAUUGAUUUACAAAAAAGUUGUCCUAGAGUCAAUGCUUCCAAAGCAAAAAAAGUAAAAACAAAGAAGCAUUAUGAAUUUAAGUGAAAAGUGAGAUCUCCGAUUAAGUGAGCCACAAAGAUAGAAGGUUUCUGAAGAACUUCUUCUUCCUUCUUCCAAGGAUGAUGUUCCUCACGUCUCGAUCAAUAAGCCGGAAUAAAGAGGCUGCCGUCAUGAAGACGGUCACUUGUUUCAUUUUAAUCCGAUAAAAUUGUUAUUUUAAUGUUAAUACACACGUAACAAAACAAAAAGGAUAAAUGUAUGUAUACUUAUUCAAAACUCAUUUAUUAAAAUGCGUUAGAGCACAAAAAUAGUUUAAAAGCACAAAGUAAACGAAUUGAUUAAAAACUUGCUUAAAAAUCAGUAUCGCCUUACUAACGAGCACGCAGGUCUUGUGUCAUCGUGUACUUAACAAAUUUGACUUAAUAAUAUAAUUUGGCGAAAGCAUGUUUGACUAAAUAAUAAUUAUUUUUCAAAUAGAUUAGAUAAUGUAACUGGAACGCAUGUACUAAUACACAAUAUAUUAUGUAUACAUAAAGUGUUAUGCAUUUUCAACUUAAGCUGAUCAUGUCAAAUGUAUUUACUAUUUUCUUUUCAUUUUUGGAUUAGAACGUUAAAUGUAUCUCCUCGACAACAACAACAAAAUAAAAUGCACUCCUUGUUAGAAAUCCCACGAUCUUAUUGUGAUAUAAUAGUAGUAAAAGAAAUUUGAAUAUGACAUGUAAUCUACUGAUAGGUAUGUGUUUACUUGUCGACAAAACUAGGAAUAAUUUUAAUCUCGGCGCUUUUGCACAAUACAAUAAAAUUUUAUAGUUCUAGGCCACAUUGUGAAGUGUGGAUCGCGUAGCAACAUUAAAUGGCAGGUAUGGUAGGUUGUUUUAAACUUUUUCGUGUGCACAUACAAAAACACUAGUUAACUUGACAGCAAAAUAGAUUAUUAAUGUUUGCGAUACCACUAAAGCCGUUGGCUUUUAAUUUCUUUUACAAAAAUUGAAAGAUUGGUCACUAGUUUAUUUUGAAGUCAAAACAGUCGUGUAAGCUAAUUUAUAAUUUAUAAUAUCUAUAUUCCUAAAAUAAACUACACAAAGAUUUUUUUAUUUGUACAUAACUAAUUAACUAGUACUAACUACUAAGUCAAAAAAAAAACUUAAAUUAUUUUCUUUAUUGAUGAUUUAUAUAUAGAUUGACUUUCGAUCCAAGAUUCCCGACGACGUUGGCUUCUAGAACCAGACUUUAUCUCUCCCUCCGGUUUAAUAUUUUAUCUGCUUUGUUUGUCAAUCCUUCAUUUGUAUCUCUCCCAUUUCCAUGAUUUUUCUAUUUUUUCAUACAACUUUCCUAUUCUGCCAAAAAAACAUGAAUUUUUGGGCUGACCAAAAAAACACCAAACUUUCAUUGACUUUAAAAUUAAUUAACAAUGUUUUCGCUGACUUGCCAAUUUAGCACGCCGUCAAUAAAUUUAACAGAAAUAUUUGACGUCGUUUAUUGUUGGCGUUAAGUGAAAUGACGUCGUUUUCAAAUGAGAUGAAACGACGUCGUUUUACAUAAUUUGAAAUUAAAAAUAUGUAAACCCCUGGAUUCGAACCCAGGUUGAUUGGUCAAAUGACAAGGUAUUUUAUCACUGGGCUACUGACACUUUCAAUGUACUUACUAACAUGUUUACGUUUAUUUGGUACAUAUUAAAUAUAAAAAAUUCUCUAAAAACUUAAUAAGAUCUUUAAAAUUCCAAAAAAAUUAAAAA